rnacentral:rRNA from 1 species
CGGAUCGGAGUCUGNAACCCGACUCCGUGAAGCUGGAUUCGCUAGUAAUCGCGCAUCAGCCAUGGCGCGGUGAAUACGUUCCCGGGCCUUGUACACACCGCCCGUCAAGCCAUGGGAGCCGGGGGUGCUUGAAGUGCGUCGCCGUGAGGCGCGCCCUAGAGCAAAACCGGUGACUGGGGCUAAGUCGUAACAAGGUAUC